GACGAACGCUGGCGGCGUGCCUAACACAUGCAAGUCGAGCGGGGUCCCAACGGUGGCAACACCGGGAAAGACCUAGCGGCGAACGGGUGAGGAACACGUGAGGAACCUGCCCCGAAGUCUGGGAUAACACCGGGAAACCGGUGCUAACACCGGAUGUCCUCACUCCGGCGCAUGCCGGGGAGAGGAAAGGUUACGCUUCGGGAGGCCUCGCGGCCUAUCAGCUUGUUGGUGGGGUAACGGCCCACCAAGGCGACGACGGGUAGCUGGUCUGAGAGGACGACCAGCCACACUGGGACUGAGACACGGCCCAGACUCCUACGGGAGGCAGCAGUGGGGAAUCUUGCGCAAUGGGCGAAAGCCUGACGCAGCAACGCCGCGUGCGGGACGAAGGCCUCGGUUGUAA
rnacentral:rRNA from 1 species